GGGGAUUUAGCUCAUCGGUAGAGCGCUUGCCUAGGAAGCGCAAGGUCCUGGGUUCAAUCCCCAGCCCCG
rnacentral:tRNA from 1 species